GAUCAUGGCUCAGAACGAACGCUGGCGGCAUGGAUUAGGCAUGCAAGUCGAACGAAGUAGCAAUACUUAGUGGCGCAAGGGUGAGGAACGCGCGAGUGACCUACCCGCAAGUUUGGAACAGCUCCUGGAAACGGGAAUUAAUACCGGAUGUGAUCAAUGAGCUGCAUGGUUUAUUGAUUAAAGCAGUAAUGCGCUUGCGGAUGGGCUCGCGUCCCAUUAGCUAGUUGGUGAGGUAACGGCCCACCAAGGCCAUGAUGGGUAGCUGGUCUGAGAGGACGACCAGCCACACUGGGACUGAGAACUGCCCAGACUCCUACGGGAGGCUGCAGUCGAGAAUUUUGGGCAAUGGACGAAAGUCUGACCCAGCCAAUGCCGCGUGCGGGAUGAAGGUCUUCGGAUUGUAAACCGCUGUUUGGAGGGACGAAAAUUGACAGUACUUCCAGAGAAAGCCACGGCUAACUACGUGCCAGCAGCAGC
rnacentral:rRNA from 1 species